rfam:Mycobacterium sp. 852013-51886_SCH5428379 contig_28, whole genome shotgun sequence.
UCCGGCCCGUGCAACGUGGCCUCUGUCCGAUCCGGGCCUGGCGUACUUCCCCGACGCCAGGACCGCGCACUCGGACAGGGACCUCGGUGCAGGGGCCCACACCC